rnacentral:rRNA from 1 species
GACGAACGCUGGCGGCGUGCUUAACACAUGCAAGUCGAACGGAAAGGCCCUGCUUUUGUGGGGUGCUCGAGUGGCGAACGGGUGAGUAACACGUGAGUAACCUGCCCUUGACUUUGGGAUAACUUCAGGAAACUGGGGCUAAUACCGGAUAGGAGCUCCUGCUGCAUGGUGGGGGUUGGAAAGUUUCGGCGGUUGGGGAUGGACUCGCGGCUUAUCAGCUUGUUGGUGGGGUAGUGGCUUACCAAGGCUUUGACGGGUAGCCGGCCUGAGAGGGUGACCGGCCACAUUGGGACUGCGAUACGGCGCAGACUCCUACGGGAGGCAGCAGUGGGGAAUAUUGCACAAUGGGCGGAAGCCUGAUGCAGCAACGCCGCGUGCGGGAUGACGGCCUUCGGGUUGUAAACCGAUUUCGCCUGUGACGAAGCGUGAGUGACGGUAAUGGGUAAAGAAGCACCGGCUAACUACGUG